rnacentral:rRNA from 1 species
AUUGAACGCUGGCGGCAUGCCUUACGCAUGCAAGUCGAACGGUAACAGGUCUUCGGAUGCUGACGAGUGGCGAACGGGUGGGUAAUACAUCGGAACGUGCCUAGUAGUGGGGGAUAACUACUCGAAAGAGUGGCUAAUACCGCAUGAGAUCUACGGAUGAAAGCAGGGGAUCGCAAGACCUUGUGCUACUAGAGCGGCCGAUGGCAGAUUAGGUAGUUGGUGGGUAAAAGCUUACCAAGCCGACGAUCUGUAGCUGGUCUGAGAGGACGAUCAGCCACACUGGGACUGAGACACGGCCCAGACUCCUACGGGAGGCAGCAGUGGGGAAUUUUGGACAAUGGGCGCAAGCCUGAUUCAGCAAUGCCGCGUGCAGGAUGAAGGCCUUCGGGUUGUAAACUGCUUUUGUACGGAACGAAAAGCCCUGGGUUAAUACCCUGGGGUCAUGACGGUACCGUAAGAAUAAGCACCGGCUAACUACGUGCCAGCCGCCGCGGUAAAAC